rnacentral:rRNA from 1 species
GACGAACGCUGGCGGCGUGCUUAACACAUGCAAGUCGAACGGAAAGGCCCUGCUUGCAGGGUACUCGAGUGGCGAACGGGUGAGUAACACGUGGGGGAUCUGCCCUGCACUUCGGGAUAAGCCUGGGAAACUGGGUCUAAUACCGGACAGGAGCCAUUUUUAGUGUGAUGGUUGGAAAGUUUUUUCGGUGUAGGAUGAGCUCGCGGCCUAUCAGCUUGUUGGUGGGGUAAUGGCCUACCAAGGCGGCGACGGGUAGCCGGCCUGAGAGGGUGGACGGCCACAUUGGGACUGAGAUACGGCCCAGACUCCGACGGGAGGCAGCAGUGGGGAAUAUUGCACAAUGGGCGCAAGCCUGAUGCAGCGACGCCGCGUGGGGGAUGACGGCCUUCGGGUUGUAAACGCCUUUCGCUAGGGACGAAGCUUUUUGUGACGGUACCUAGAUAAGAAGCACCGGCUAACUACGUG